rnacentral:lncRNA from 1 species
UCCUCAGACUCCUCUUCUCUUCUCUCUCCAUUCUCGAACUCUCUUUUCUCUCUCUGUUGAAAUGAUGGGAUAGAUAGAGACUAAAGAGAAAGGCUAAAGAGGUGCUUUUUGAAAUUCAAAAGACUUGGAACGAGUUCCAAAUCAAUGGACCACAUGGCAAAGAGGGUGGUUGGCUCGUGCGGGCUUUUUUUUUAUUUUAUUUUUUGGGUUCCAUGCAUGGAUGCUGAUUUC